rfam:Dipodomys ordii contig_709, whole genome shotgun sequence.
GGGAAAGUGGCUCAAUGGAAGAGUGCUUGCCUUGCAUGCAUGAGGCCCUGGGUUUGAUUCUUCAGCACUACCU